UAGGUCAUCGAACUUGGAGACCUGAGUGCAGAAAAGAGGAGGAGUGGAAUCAUGUGUAGCGUGAAUGCGUAGAAUAAUAUGAGACACCAGUGGCGAAGGCGGCUCUCCUGGUCUGUAACUGACGCCUGAGGCUCGAAAGCGUGGGGGAGCAAACAGGAUUAGAUACCCUGGUAGUCACGCCGUAAACGAUGAGUGCUAAGUGUUGGAGGGUUUCCGCCUUCAGUGCUGCAGCAAACGCAUUAAGCACUCCGCCUGGGGAGUACGACCGCAAGGUUGAAACUCAAAGGAAUUGACGGGGGCCCGCACAAGCGGUGGAGCAUGUGGUUUAAUUCGAAGCAACGCGAAGAACCUUACCAGGUCUUGACAUCCUUUGACCACUCUAGAGAUAGAGCUUUCCCUUCGGGGACAAAGUGACAGGUGGUGCAUGGUUGUCGUCAGCUCGUGUCGUGAGAUGUUGGGUUAAGUCCCGCAACGAGCGCAACCCUUAUUGUUAGUUGCCAUCAUUUAGUUGGGCACUCUAGCGAGACUGCCGGUGACAAACCGGAGGAAGGUGGGGAUGACGUCAAAUCAUCAUGCCCCUUAUGACCUGGGCUACACACGUGCUACAAUGGGAAGUACAACGAGUCGCUAGACCGCGAGGUCAUGCAAAUCUCUUAAAGCUUCUCUCAGUUCGGAUUGCAGGCUGCAACUCGCCUGCAUGAAGCCGGAAUCGCUAGUAAUCGCGGAUCAGCACGCCGCGUGAAUACGUUCCCGGGCCUUGUACACACCGCCCGUCACACCACGAGAGUUUGUAACACCC
rnacentral:rRNA from 1 species